rnacentral:rRNA from 1 species
UACACUCCUACGGGAGGCAGCAGUGGGGAAUUUUGGACAAUGGGCGAAAGCCUGAUCCAGCAAUGCCGCGUGAGUGAAGAAGGCCUUCGGGUUGUAAAGCUCUUUUGUCAGGGAAGAAACGGUGAGAGCUAAUAUCUCUUGCUAAUGACGGUACCUGAAGAAUAAGCACCGGCUAACUACGUGCCAGCAGCCGCGGUAAUACGUAGGGUGCAAGCGUUAAUCGGAAUUACUGGGCGUAAAGCGUGCGCAGGCGGUUUUGUAAGUCUGAUGUGAAAUCCCCGGGCUCAACCUGGGAAUUGCAUUGGAGACUGCAAGGCUAGAAUCUGGCAGAGGGGGGUAGAAUUCCACGUGUAGCAGUGAAAUGCGUAGAUAUGUGGAGGAACACCGAUGGCGAAGGCAGCCCCCUGGGUCAAGAUUGACGCUCAUGCACGAAAGCGUGGGGAGCAAACAGGAUUAGAUACCCCAGUAGUCCC